GAACAAUAUUAAGGCAAAAAUUGCAUAUUGCCUUCUUGCGUACACGUGUCUCUGUCUGACAAGUUGACUGCUUGAUUUUGACAUUCGGAAUCCCAUCUUGCAUUCUUACAUGUACAUGCCUUUAUUUGAUAUUCAGUUUGAUUUGAUUUUGCCUGCUUCAUAUAUUCGUCUCGCUUUCGGACAUGCUGUAAUCUGAUAUACUACUUCAUCAUACUGACUAGUGGUUCCGUACAUCUUGCCUUCUUGGACCGUCAAUGUUGUAUACUUAUUGACGAAGAUAACAUCUAGCUAUCGGACAUGCUGUAAUCUGACAUACUACUUCAUCAUACUCAACUAGUGGUUACUUACAUCGUGCCUUCUUCGAGCGUCAAUGGUGUAUACUUCUUGGUGAAAACAACUUAAGCGGUUCCUUAACUAUGUGAUUGCAAGGAGCUGGGUUAUGAAAUAAUUUCAGUGCAUUCUUAAAUUCUUGUUCAGGUGGAGAUAACCCCUUUUACGGAAACACACGAACUGUACCGAGAGUGUUAAGACUACACGUCCGGUAACCGCACUAAACACCAUAUAUUUCUAUUUGAAUCCAAGUAAAAUGAGUAUAUUUUUCGAGACUCUACCUUUAAUCGGAUAUAUAAAUAGCGCGCUAUAAAUAGCCUACAGAACAGAAUUAUGUCAUCAUCUGAGUACUAGUCAAAAUAAUUACACGUUCAUACAUGUAUAUUGUUUUAUAUUUGUGACGCUGACGGGCAAUCUAAAUUGGGAUAUUGCCCAUAUGAAAAAUAUCACAGUAUUUCCUAGGAUCGCGUCAAAUUAGUUGGACCUCCGUUGCUUAUUCAAAGGAGACAUGAUAUUGAACAUUUUGAGAAAUAGCACUGUAGUCAGCAUUUGUCUCACGUGAACUGUGGAGACAUUUGGAUAUUGUACCUGAAAGUUCAUCACAAAGUGCUGGUGUUUUGAUAUCUACAAGAGCAGACGGCAACAGAAUUGGAGGUUACCCAAAUCUAAAGAUGUUGAGGAGUACAAGAAACAACAAAAAAAGCUAUGAAAAACAAAUGAAAUAAAAACAACGUGAAAUUAUAUUGAAUCAUGGCCCUGGGUUCCAGACCGUUCGACAACAACGAAAAAAAAAGGAUUUUUUUAGCUCACCAGAGCACAAAGUGCUUAAGGUGAGCUAUUGUGAAUGACCGGCGUCCGUCGGCGUGCGUCUUGCGUAAACAUUUGCCUUGUGAACACUCUAGAGGCCACGUUUAUGACCCAAUCUUUAUGAAACUUGGUCAGAAUGUUAGUCUUGAUGAUCUCUAGGUCAAGUUUGAAAGUGGGUUAUGUGGGGUCAAAAACUGUGUCAGUAGGUUAGAUCAAAGAAAAUGCUUGUGAACACUCUAGAGACCACACUUUUGACCCAAUCUUUAUGAAAAUUUGUCAGAAUGUUAGUCUUGAUAAUCUCUAGGUCAAGGUUGAAACUGGGUCAUGUGGAGUUAAAACCUAGGUCAGUAGGUUAGAUCAAAUAAAACGCUUGUUAACACUCUAGAGACCACAUUUUUAACCCAAUUUUUUUAUAAAACUUGGUCAGAAUGUUAGUCUUGAUGAUCUCUAGGUCAAGUUUGAAACUGAAUCAUGUGGGAUCAAAAACUAGAUCACCAGGUCAGAUCAAAGGAAAAGCAACAUUUGUGUACCAAUGUUUUUGAAACUGGUCAGAAUGUUAGUGUUGAUUAUCUUUAGGUCAAGAUUGAAUCUGGGUCAUGUUAGAUAAAAAAAUAGGUCAGUAUGUCAGAUCAAUGGAAAACCUUGUGAACACUCUAGAGACCACAUUUAUGACCCAAUCUUUAUGAAACUUUGUUAGAAUGUUAGUCUUGAUGAUCUCUAGGCCAAUUUCGGUCAAGAUCAUGUUGGAUCAUAAACUAGGUCACCUGGUCAAAUCAAAUGAAAAGUUUGUGAACACUCUAAAGGCCACAGUUGUGUCCCAAUAUUUAUGAAACAUAGUCAGAAAGUUUGACCUGAUGAUUUCUAGGUCAAAUUUGAAUCUAGGUCAUGUGGGGUCAAAAACUAUAAACGACAGUGUCUACUUGUAGUAGGGAGCACAAUGCCUAACUUUAUAGUGCUGCCUCACUGGAAUAUCACAUCGUAUACACGUGGCAUGAUACCCCACCCAGUCACAUUAUACUGACACCGGGCUGACCAGUCCUAGCACUAUCCUCUUAAUGCUGAACGCCUAGCGAGAAAGCUUCGAGUACUAUUUUUACGUCUUUGGUAUGACGCGGCUGGGGA